CUCUUCUGGAGUGCCGUGCUUCAGGAUUAGCGACAGACAGACCUUCUGCAGCUCACGACAUUUACCUACUGUAUUUUCUUUAACAGCUGAAGUAAUGACAUCUUAUUGACAGCACAGCAGAGCAAACAAUGUCUUACUGAAAGCUUCAGUGCUGGAUUUGGGCCGUCCUAAGGACCUGAGACCAAGUAAAGUAAGCAGGUUUUGCUACUGAAUGAAAGACAAUGACUGUUCUAGUUCACCGGUGGCCUUUAGCACUCCUAGACACAAAAAAGG